rnacentral:rRNA from 1 species
GACGAACGCUGGCGGCGUGCUUAACACAUGCAAGUCGAACGGUAAGGCCCUUCGGGGUACACGAGUGGCGAACGGGUGAGUAACACGUGGGUGAUCUGCCCUGCACUUUGGGAUAAGCCUGGGAAACUGGGUCUAAUACCGAAUAGGACUCCGGACUGCAUGGUCUGGGGUGGAAAGCUUUUGCGGUGUGGGAUGGGCCCGCGGCCUAUCAGCUUGUUGGUGGGGUGAUGGCCUACCAAGGCGACGACGGGUAGCCGGCCUGAGAGGGUGUCCGGCCACACUGGGACUGAGAUACGGCCCAGACUCCUACGGGUGGCUG